GGGAAGCUGCUGGUCUGGAGGAUCUGGGGCUGGGAACGGUCCUGUUACAAAUGGCUGCUGUGUCUGCCUCCUCCACGUCCUGCUGCCAGUGGCUGAGACGCAAAAACAACAGGAUCUAAGCCUCCAUGAAAACAGUCAUUUGGAUUCUGGUGAUCACCUCAGAGAACUUGGCCGUACUAUCACUGCACCUCUCACCUGUCAGGUGGCGCCAUCCUGACGUCUCGGCACAGCCGGCCGGUCCAGGCGCAGUACGGAUCCCUGGACAGCACGCACUCUCCACAGCUCAGGUAGUUGGAGCAGUUGGCAACAGGAACCUCCACCAGCCCAGAGUACGAGGACACGAACAGCAGCCCCUGCAGAUCGGGACAAACAUCUGAGCGUGAGCAGAACCCAAAAGCCUGAAGCAGAGGAUUCUGGUCCGAUCUCAAAAAAAAAAAAA